UCGAUUCAAGAGGACGUGCUGGCUCUUCUGUUAGGAGGGCAUUGUGCACUCUCUCAAAUCUAACCCUAUUCACCUGUGCACACUUGGUAGGCAAGAGAAAGGGGGGCAAUACUGUUCCCCAAACUCUUUGCCUAUUGUUUUGUAACACACACCUUAUGAAUUUUAAUUGAACAAAAAAAAAUUUGUAA
rnacentral:misc_RNA from 1 species